CUUAAUUCAGUUGAUUGCAUGGCUCACGAAUAUUUUCCGUAUGGAAAGGGGAUACAUCUAGCUAAACGUGCAGCUGAAAGGAUUUGAUUAUUGAAAAAUCAAUAUAUUUUCAGGUCAGAAUGAUGAGCUGCAGGAGAGGUCUCCAAGUGAUGAUUCCCAGCAAGGGUACCAGUUCCCAAAUGCUGUACUAUCCAAUACUGACAGACAGCUCAAUGGGCAGAAUGAUGAGCAGCAGGAGAGGUCUCCCCCCAGUGAUGAUGGUCAGCAAGGGUACCAGUCGCCAAAUGCUAUUACAUCCAAUACAGACACACAGCUCAAUAGUAAGAACUGGCGGAGAUAAAAUUGGCCUGUUAUUUAGGAAGUGUUUAUCUUGUUAAUCAAUAGGUAUUAAGUUGAAAUUGGAAUGCCUUUGUUUAUCUUUUAGACUGUAGCACAUAAUCUGCAGGUAUUUAAUGAACUGUUGCCUUUUAACGAUAAUUGGCUAUAUUUUG